rnacentral:sRNA from 1 species
GAGACCACAGAGCAAAUGAUGAUGGAGGGAAGGCAGAGGCCAGGGCUCUUGCACAUGGGUGAUCUGUUUUUCCUAUCACAGGACCUGCCCAUCAACUUUCCAGAAGAAAAAGAAAACAGGAAGCCAAGCAAGACGGACACUGAAGCCGCAGCCACAACAGCUGCAGGAGAAUCUCCCAAAGGGCCAUGAAACAACAGGACAUACGUAUGAGCGGGUGUUACAGCAGCAAGGGUCUCAAGAGAGGAGUCCAGGCCUCAUGUCGGAAGACAGCAACUUACAUUAUGCUGACAUUCAAGUGUGCAGCCGUCCCCAUGCCCGGGAAGUGAAACACGUCCAUUUAGAAAACGCUACAGAGUAUGCGACCCUUCGCUUCCCCCGGGCCACACCUCGCUAUGACAGCAAGAACGGGACCCUGGUGUGAACGUUGAGGAGGAAGGCCCAGUCCAUUGUUAACCACUAAUCUUGUGGGGGAGAACCUACUGCUUUGGGGAAUUGGGUGGCAACCCAGGGAUGUUGGCCACGUUUUAAGCUUAAAGAACUCCAAGGCCCCUGGAAUUGUGGGCGUCCCAUUUUCUCCCCUGGCCUCUGACUUGCCGCUGUU